ACUGRUAAAGCUYCCAUCUCUCACACUGGAUACCAACAUGACCUGAGAGACUUGACCCACCUUAUCGAUUAAAGCACUGUAUUCUGUCCUGGGCAUCUCCUCAGGCUGAUGAAGAAUUCGUGAGGGAAAAGAUGUGUAAUUUAUCAGGUAGUCACACGAUGGCAUCCGAACUCCACUCCGGUUCCAUUGGCUCAGUGUCCAUUCCCUGUGAAGCCCCGGGCAGCUCGAAUGAAUGGAAACGAUGACUGGCACUUGCUUUCGUCUGCACCCACGCUCGUGCGGACUGAGCUGAAAUAGCACUGAGGGAGGAAGAAAAGGAGAAUCACUU